rnacentral:rRNA from 1 species
AACGAACGCUGGCGGCAGGCUUAACACAUGCAAGUCGAGCGCCCCGCAAGGGGAGCGGCAGACGGGUGCGUAACGCGUGGGAAUCUACCCAUCUCUACGGAAUAACGCAUGGAAACGUGUGCUAAUACCGUAUACGUCCUUCGGGAGAAAGGUUUAUCGGAGAUGGAUGAGCCCGCGUUGGCUUAGCUAGUGGGUGGGGUAAAGGCCUACCAAGGCGACGAUCCAUAGCUGGUCUGAGAGGAUGAUCAGCCACACUGGGACUGAGACACGGCCCAGACUCCUACGGGAGGCAGCAGUGGGGAAUAUUGGACAAUGGGCGCAAGCCUGAUCCAGCCAUGCCGCGUGAGUGAUGAAGGCCCUAGGGUUGUAAAGCUCUUUCACCGGUGAAGAUAAUGACGGUAACCGGAGAAGAAGCCCCGGCUAACUUCGUGCCAGCCGCCGCCGUAACAC